rnacentral:rRNA from 1 species
GAUGAACGCUGGUGGCGUGCCUAAUACAUGCAAGUCGAGCGAAUGGAUUAAGAGCUUGCUCUUAUGAAGUUAGCGGCGGACGGGUGAGUAACACGUGGGUAACCUGCCCAUAAGACUGGGAUAACUCCGGGAAACCGGGGCUAAUACCGGAUAACAUUUUGGACCGCAUGGUUCGAAAUUGAAAGGCGGCUUCGGCUGUCACUUAUGGAUGGACCCGCGUCGCAUUAGCUAGUUGGUGAGGUAACGGCUCACCAAGGCAACGAUGCGUAGCCGACCUGAGAGGGUGAUCGGCCACACUGGGACUGAGACACGGCCCAGACUCCUACGGGAGGCAGCAGUAGGGAAUCUUCCGCAAUGGACGAAAGUCUGACGGAGCAACGCCGCGUGAGUGAUGAAGGCUUUCGGGUCGUAAAACUCUGUUGUUAGGAAGAACAAGUGCUAGUUGAAUAAGCUGGCACCUUGACGGUACCUAACCAGAAAGCCACGGCUAACUACGUGCCAGCAGCCGCAGUAA